CCUACGGGUGGCUGCAGUGGGGAAUAUUGGACAAUGGGGGCAACCCUGAUCCAGCCAUGCCGCGUGUGUGAAGAAGGCCCUCGGGUUGUAAAGCACUUUCAGUGAGGAAGAACGCCUGGUGGUUAAUACCCAUCAGGAAAGACAUCACUCACAGAAGAAGCACCGGCUAACUCCGUGCCAGCAGCCGCGGUAAUACGGAGGGUGCGAGCGUUAAUCGGAAUUACUGGGCGUAAAGCGCGCGUAGGUGGCUUGAUAAGCCGGUUGUGAAAGCCCCGGGCUCAACCUGGGAACGGCAUCCGGAACUGUCAAGCUAGAGUGCAGGAGAGGAAGGUAGAAUUCCCGGUGUAGCGGUGAAAUGCGCAGAGAUCGGGAGGAAUACCAGUGGCGAAGGCGGCCUUCUGGACUGACACUGACACUGAGGUGCGAAAGCGUGGGUAGCAAACAGGAUUAGAUACCCGUGUAGUC
rnacentral:rRNA from 1 species